UACGUAGGGGGCGAGCGUUGUCCGGAAUGACUGGGCGUAAAGGGCGCGUAGGUGGCGAUACAAGUCUGGAGUGAAAGUCCCGCUUUCAAGGUGGGAAUGGCUUUGGAAACUGUAUGGCUUGAGUGUGGGAGAGGAUAGCGGAAUUCCCGGUGUAGCGGUGAAAUGCGUAGAGAUCGGGAGGAACACCAGUGGCGAAGGCGGCUAUCUGGACCAAGACUGACACUGAAGCGCGAAAGCGUGGGUAGCAAACAGG
rnacentral:rRNA from 1 species